rnacentral:misc_RNA from 1 species
GAUGAAGAACGUAGCGAAAUGUGAUAAGUAGUGUGAAUUGCAGAAUUCAGUGAAUCAUCGAAUCUUUGAACGCACAUUGCGCCCCUUGGUAUUCCAUGGGGCAUGCCUGUUCGAGCGUCAUUUGUACCUUCAAGCUCUGCUUGGUGUUGGGUGUUUGUCUCGCCUCUGCGUGUAGACUCGCCUCAAAACAAUUGGCAGCCGGCGUAUUGAUUUCGGAGCGCAGUACAUCUCGCGCUUUGCACUCAUAACGACGACGUCCAAAAGUACAUUUUUACACUCUUGACCUCGGAUCAGGUAGGGAUACCCGCUGAACUUAAGCAUAUCAAUAAGCGGAGGA